rnacentral:rRNA from 1 species
CACGCCCUAAACUAUGGAUGCUAGCUGUAUGUCGAAUCGACCCGAUAUGUAGCGAAGCUAACGCGUUAAGCAUCCCGCCUGUGGAGUACGGUCGCAAGACUAAAACAUAAAGGAAUUGACGGGGACCCGCACAAGCGGUGGAGUGUGUUGUUUAAUUCGAUGGUAAACGAAGAACCUUACCCAGACUUGACAUCCUUGGAAAGACUACGAAAGUAGACUGUGUCUUCGGAAGCCAAGUGACAGGUGU